AAGGAGGAGCUCAUGGACCCCAGACUGAUAGCUGGGAAACCAGCAUAGGACAGAACCAGAGCAGCAAUUCCAGCAAUUCAAGUCACCCACCAUGCAAGGCUGCUCUCUGAUUCAGACCUGGGCCCACAGUAAGAGCCAAAGAGAAAAACUGGCAGGACCAGGAAAGAUAUCUCCCAGCAUGUCUGGGACACAUGGCAACCUCACUGCUUCUGAAUUCUGAUCCCAUUCUCUCCCGUGGCCUCUUGUACUAAUUACAUUUAGUUAGUUCUCAGAUGCAGUGAGAGCCCAAGUUCUACUGGGUUGUCUAGCUAGAAACUAAGAACGUCUUUGUAUUUGAUCUGUCUGUAUGAACAGAGGUCCCUGAUUGUCAGCUGAGAAGACCCUGGCUCAUGUGUUUGAGCAGCUACUACGUGUUAUGUGCAAAGGCUAAUUAUUUUUCACCUUGGUUGCCAUAAAAAAAGUCUGCCCUAAGCUUCCAUGUGUUUGAAGCUCAGGGUUUAAUCUCUAUCAACAUAGAGGACAUUUGUCUGAUUGCAUCUCUAUUGCAAAAAUAAACAUUUCUCAGCUGCAA